UGACGCUCGGGCAGUUCGACGACAUAAAGGACGCCGACAUCGUGGCGCUCAUCCGCGGCUGUCCGAACCUCACGGAGCUAACGGUGACGGGCUCGCGCCAGCUGACGCCCCGCCUGCCGGCGCGGGCGGCGGCCGCGCGGCGCGCCGUGGCGCCCGGCCGCGUGCUGGAGCUCGAUCUGAGCUUCACCAAUCUCUCCAGCAGCCUUUGUGUGGAAGAUACCGAUGCGGACGGACCAUAUCUCGAUGUUUUGAGAAAGAAGUAUAAAGGCUUGGAUAUAAUAUUCUUUUAAUUUUUGUUAAUUUUAAGCUAAGCUAAAUAUAUAUGUCAAUAAAAACUAA